GAGGGGGUUGGGGGGGUGUCACAGGCUGCAACAAGCCUCACAUUCUACCCCCUUCUUCUCUGCAGGGUCCCCAGGGUCAGGCAGGAGGUCUUGGCCAGCCGGGCCCAAACGGAGAGAAGGUGCAGACUCCUGUUCAGCUCCUGAACCACCUCCCCUCUGCUUCUCCCCCACCCCAACCUGCUCUCUCUGACCCUCCUACUCCCUCCAGUCCCUCCCGUCCCUUCUUGCAGUCAGUCACCAAGCUCCCCUGCCACCACCCACACCCCAUCCAUCUUCACGCAGGGUGACCCUGGAGCGGCCGGAGAGCCUGGCCCCCCUGGCAAGCCAGGACCCUCGGGUCCCCGAGGGGAACUGGGGGAGAAGGGUGAUGCUGGACAGCCUGGAGCUGCAGGACCUGCAGGCAGGAAGGGUCCCGGGGGCCAAGAUGGGGCAGAAGGAGAACGGGGUCCCAGAGGCUUCCGUGGAGACCCUGGCCCCCCUGGAGAUCCCGGCCCUCCUGUGAGUGUCCAUCCACCCUCCCAAGCCCUCAUCCCCCCCCCAGCUGCCCCGUUUCCCCCCACACCCUGACCCCAGGACCUUCCAAACUGCUCGCAAGGUUCCCUCAAACCCUCUGCUCUUCUCAGUCCCCAACCUAGUCUUCUCAGCUCCCAUCCUGCAGCUGGGCUUCAGGCCCUCUCCCAUCCCAAUGGGGUUUGUCUGUUGGCAGGGCGCUGAUGGCAGAGCUGGGGACAGGGGGUCCCGAGGAGA
rnacentral:lncRNA from 1 species